GAUGAACGCUAGCGGCAGGCUUAAUACAUGCAAGUCGAGGGGCAGCAGGACUGUAGCAAUACAGUUGCUGGCGACCGGCAAACGGGUGCGGAACACGUACGCAACCUACCCAAAACUGGGGGAUAGCCCGGGGAAACCCGGAUUAAUACCUCGUAACCUUUUUAAGUGGCAUCACUUGAUAAGUAUAGCUCUGGCGGAUUUGGAUGGGCGUGCGCGUGAUUAGGUAGUUGGUGCGGGUAACGGCACAACAAGCCUGCGCUCAGUAACUGGUGUGAGAGCACGACCAGUUAGACGGGCACUAGGACACGGGCCCGACUGCUACGGGAGGCAGCAGUAAGGAAUAUAGGGCAAUGGACGCUAGUCCGAACCAGCCAUGCCGGGUGAAGGAUGAAUGUCCUCUGGAUUGUAAACUUCUGUUAUAGAAGACGAAACCCGGAUAUUCUUAUCCGAUUGACGGUACCUCAGGAAUAAGCACCGGCUAACUCCGUG
rnacentral:rRNA from 1 species